rnacentral:rRNA from 1 species
UACACUCCUACGGGAGGCAGCAGUGGGGAAUUUUGGACAAUGGGCGAAAGCCUGAUCCAGCCAUGCCGCGUGCAGGAUGAAGGCCUUCGGGUUGUAAACUGCUUUUGUACGGAACGAAACGGCCUUUUCUAAUAAAGAGGGCUAAUGACGGUACCGUAAGAAUAAGCACCGGCUAACUACGUGCCAGCAGCCGCGGUAAUACGUAGGGUGCAAGCGUUAAUCGGAAUUACUGGGCGUAAAGCGUGCGCAGGCGGUUAUGUAAGACAGUUGUGAAAUCCCCGGGCUCAACCUGGGAACUGCAUCUGUGACUGCAUAGCUAGAGUACGGUAGAGGGGGAUGGAAUUCCGCGUGUAGCAGUGAAAUGCGUAGAUAUGCGGAGGAACACCGAUGGCGAAGGCAAUCCCCUGGACCUGUACUGACGCUCAUGCACGAAAGCGUGGGGAGCAAACAGGAUUAGAUACCCCAGUAGUCCCAUGAU